CUGCCCCCUAUUAACUUCCUUGAACUUAAAAACACAAACAAAUUUGUGGCAUGCAGUCAAUAUUGCUACGCAAUAAUAUAUUAUAGGGUAAAUAAUUGUUUGUUGAAAAACUGCCAUUUGUUUAUUUAGUCUACGUAACCAGUUAAUAUGCACCGAGCUUUGCUUUACCGUGUUCUGUUACGUCGAUAUAAACGUGGAGCAUCUGUGACAUGCAGACCCUUAUUCUAAACUUCUUGUUAUGAUAUCAUAUCAAUAAGAAAUGGCUGAUUUCAAACCCAAAUGUAAAAUCUGUGAAAAGGAAUUUCCCUACUUCAGUCAGCUUGAGAUUCACCUGAAAAUGCAUAGUGGGGAGAAGCCGUAUGGAUGUCCAUAUUGUCCGAAAGCCUGUCUACGUCCAUCGGAUCUAACACGCCACAUCCGAACGCAUACCGGAGAGAAGCCAUAUUCCUGCGAUGCGUGUGGGAAGAAGUUUGCCCAACAAUCAGCUUUAAACCAACAUCUAUUGGUCCAUACUGGUGUUAAAGUCUUUCAUUGUGAUAAAUGUGACAAAAGUUUUAAAACCAAAUCGCAGCUUCAAGUCCAUCAAGUACACGUCCAUUCAGACGAGAAACUUUAUUCCUGUGAAAUCUGCGGAAAAGGAUUUAAAUCAAACAGCCAUCUUAAGUCUCAUCUCCGAAUUCACGAGACGGAAGUUGAUGUGAAACCUUUUGAAUGUGAUAUCUGCAAAAAGACCUUCAAAUUUAACACUAGUUUUAAACGGCACCAAAAACUACACACAGAUGUCAUGCCUUAUGAAUGCCAAGUCUGCGGAAAACGGUUUCGGGAGAAACACAAUUUUUUACGACACAAGAACAGGUCGUAUGGCGAAAUUGCGCUAAAUCACCAUUGCAAUUUUUGUGAUAAAGUAUUUUCUCAAAAGUGUCACCUCGACGACCAUAUUCGGACUCAUACAGACGAACGUCCUUUCGUGUGUGAGCAGUGUAAUAAAGGCUUCAAACAACGUAUCGCUCUUAAGAAACAUCUUGAAUUUCAUGUCAAAUCAGAAGCUAUUGUCAAGUCAGAAGCUAUUGUCAAGUCAGAAGCUGUGGACGUUGAAGCCAAGAUGUAAAUUGUGAUAUGAAUAUCUGAGCUUUAUACUGUUUAAACCACAUUAAAUUUGAGUAAUUGAAUGCCUUAAAAUAAACGCAAGAGUUCUGUGGAAAACAAUGGCUGUAUUUUUAGUGCAUAGUAUCUAUUUCUUUCUUUCUGACUCGGGAGCCACGGUGGCUAAUUGGGUAAAAUGCCGGUACGCUAACCAGAAGGUUGCGUGUUCGAUCCCUGCAUUGGCUAAGAAUGUUCAUUGGGAUUUUCCGGGGUGGUUUCCCUUGUCAGUGAUGUAGGACGAAGAGUCUGACAAAGACAGCUGUCUAGUCGUACGGAUGGGACAAGAAACAGAGGACCCAUGUAUACAUUGGCGUGCACACAAAAGAUCCCUUGGCAGUUGGAAUUUGAUAUAUAAGAGUCGGACAUAGUGCCACUGCCCGAGCAAAUUUUACAUUAAAGUACACUGUGUGACGUAUGCCCAUCUUUAUUAUCCAAGUAAGAGCAGAACACUAGGAUAAUAAAACCCAUUUCAUUUCAUUACUUUCUUUCUGACUUGGGGGAGGGGGGGGGGUGGAUGGCCGAAUAGUGCUGCAUAAUAAGGUCUGUCAGUUGUACUUGACAAGGAGUAGGGUCGACUGUCCAACCUCGUAGGUUUUCUCGGGGUCCUCCGGUUUCCUCCCACUGCUAAAGACUUCUACGCGCAAGCGAAUUAUUGAAAUAAAAUUGAACCAUAUGUUAGUCCCGAAAUGACCUUGUUUGUGUCGAGUGGACAUUAAACACAAUUUAUCGCUCUCUCUUUUAUAUCAGUAUUGUGCUUGAAAAACGACAAGAGAAUCAUGGUAGCUCGGAUUAAAGAUAAAGUAAUUGUUUUCCAUAGAACUAUUUUGUUUGAUUUGUUGUUCAUUCGUUCCUGGAGUUUUACAUCCACUUUCACAAAGGGUGAUAUCGGAAACGAGUUUAUAACCCGGGAUGAUUUGAUACGAUUUCUCUUGGGUUAAAAACAUAUAGGUCUGAAUCAUUAUCAACUCUGUGUAAUGCCUUAUGGAAAAAUUCUUGAGCAACAUAAAUUGUGAUAUGCUUUGUAACCAUGAAUGCUUUAACAAGAUUUCUCUCCGAUCAUAAACGGAAGAAAGAUUCUUAGAGCAGGAUUUUGUAUGUGUUUCACGUAGGGUUGGGUGAUAAUGAAAAAAAAAAGAUUGUGAUAAUAAUUUAUCAAGUAUCAGGAUAAAUGAAAUUAACGUGAUAAUUUAUACGUGUGUCUUAAGAAGGCAAAUUUGGAAUAGGUGGGCCGAAAAUCGCCAGCUUGAUGUCAAAUUAUUGUUGCUAAUGUCAGUAGUUGCCAUGAUGGAUAUUUACCCUAGACCAGCUGGUACUUCAUAAUGUUAUUUUUACUGAUGAAUUUAAUUCUAUCAAUUGAAUGUCAUAGGUGAUGAUAUAGAAUAUGUAUUAUCAUCAAUAUUGGGACACAAUAAUUUUGUUUAUCACAAUAUACCAGUUUUUCAAUAUUUUUAAAUAAGUCUGAUACAAAAAGCGCUCAACCUUAGCUCCACGACAGUAAAAUAAGGUUGUCUUCUUAAUGUACAUAAAAAAUGGUUUUAUUUAUAUAGUCAUAAAGUAAUGGUAAUAUGGUAAUUAAUUACUAUCAAUGAAAUGGAUAAUAGUAAUUAAUUACUAUCAAUGAAAUGGAUAAUGGUAAUUAAUUACUAUCAAUGGAAUGGAUAAUGGUAAUUAAUUACUAUCAAUGAAAUGGAUAAUGGUAAUUAAUUACUCUCAAUGAAAUGGAUAAUGGUAAUUAAUUACUAUCAAUGAAAUGGAUAAUGGUAAUUAAUUAUGGUACAUGUACUUUCAGUGUAAUAGGUAAUGGUAAUGAAUUACAUUGCUAAAAAUGAGAAAGUAACUGUAAUGAUUACAUUUAAAAAGUAAUGUUAAUGUAAUUAAUUAUAUUGGCCAUAUAAUGGCCCCAGCCCUGAUGCUUUAUGGGAAAAAAUACAAAUCCGAAUGGUCCGUGAAUGCAUAUGAAUGAGAUGGAGAUUUUUUAAUGAAGUAUUCCCAUUGGCUAACUUCCUAUCACUACCAAAGACCCCUAUGCAUAAGCGAAUUAUUGAAUUAAAAUUAAACUAUAUAUUGGUCCCAAUAUGACAUGGUUUGUGUCGAGUGGAUGUUAAACCCCAUUUUUCUCUCUCUCUAUCUGAAUUUCGAGGCCUUAUAAUGUUAACGAGAAGUAAAUAAAACUUGAGUGAAUGUUAAAAGGAGUAAACCAGAUAGAAAGGAUUCUGUGGUUGGUCCAUUGUAUGUUUUUUUUUCAAAAAGUUUAAUAUUUUGUUGUAUUAUUUUCAAGUUAUAGAAUUAUAUGUUUGUUGUUUUUUGUUGUUUGUAUUGUUAUCAAAGUUUAUUUUCAAAAUAUUUUUCGCAAAAUUCAUGCCUAUUAUAUUAUAUAAGCUUACUUAAUUUGCGUUCAUUCAAUUAUGAAACUUAGGUUUUAUUGUGGUUGUAUAUUGUCAUCACCCCUUUCUUUCAAUUUUCACCAUCGGUCUAUCGUUCGAAUCAUAUUUCUUGUAAACGUCCACGAACUAGAUAAUUUCGGGACUAAUUUUUAUUUCGAGUAGGGGGGGGGUCUUUUAGCAUCUAUUCUUUCUGUUAGAAUAAGAUUAAGAAACAACUUUAAGACAACUAUGUAAGUACACACAAAAUGUAAAAAAAAAAUAAUAAAUUAAGGGAAUGAAAUUUUCUAUGUAUUCAUUUUACAUUAUCUAUUUUUGAACUAUUAUAGCUCGAACGACCAGCUCUUAAUCUAAAUCAUACAUAAUAUAUGUUUAAAGAGAAGAUGUAAAUAUUAAAUAGAAGGAAUUAUUAAUUGUUGACAAUUAAACUAAAAUUUAAGAAAUUAUCAAUUUGAUUUAUUUGCAAUAGAAUGUAUUUUCUUUGUUAUUAAUAAUUUUUUUUUUUUUUUUUUGACAGUUUUUGUGGACUGUUUUUCUGUUAAAAUAAGAAACUGUCAUGAAACUGUCACAUGCGAUGUGAUAAAUACUUAAACCACAAUAUAGGCUAAUGUGUUUUCUUUUUGACAGUUUUGGUUUUAUUAUUAUUGUAUAUUUUGUACUAAUGUAUAUAUUUUUGUAGUGCAUAAAGUAACAAAAUUAAUUGAAAACAAGAUCAAAUUGAUGUUGUUAUUAAGAGAAAAACUGUUUAUUCAAAAAUGUGUUUUGAAAAAGAUUGAAAGGGACACAAAUUGUGUUUUUGAUUUAAAAUGAAAUUGGUGUUAUUAUGGUAAGAGUGGUUAAAGUUGUGGCGCUGGCUCACUAGCCUGGAGGUCACAUGUUCGAUCCCUGCAUUGGCCGAGAAAGUUCAUCCAGAUUUUCUGGCGUGGUUUCCUCUUGUCAGUGGUGCAAGACUGAGGGCCUGACAAGGACAGCUGUCUAGUCGUUCGGAUGGUAUGAAAAACUGAGGUCCUGUGUACACAUUGGCGUGCACGUAAAAGAUCCCUUGGCAGUUGGAAUUCGAUAUAAGAGUAGGCCAUAGUGUCGCUGUUUGGGCAAAAUUUCCCUAAUAGCACACUGUAUGGCGUAUGUCCGUCUUCAUUAGCCCAGUUUGGAGCAGAACAGUAGGACGUUAAACCCCAUUUCAUUUUUAGUUAAAAGUUAUGGAUUUAGCUUUAUGUGUCUUAAUAAUAAGAUUAUAAAAAUAAUUGUUUUAUUUAAAAAUGUGUUUUGAAAACAUGUAACUUUGAAAGGGAAAGGGAAACAAAAUGUGUUUUUUAUGUGUUGAAAUGGAUUUGGUGUAUCUUUGUAGAUGUAAUCCUUAUAAGAUUUCACUAAAAUUAACACACUAAUAUGGAUAUACUACUUUUGAAUUUUAUUAACAUGCCAUAUUUCAAUACACAUACAGUGGACUCUGUCACAUCCGAUAUCUGAUCACUCCGGAUUGCUGUGACAUCCGACAUUAUUUUCAUGUCCCGAUUUAAUUCCUUAUUACUUCAGCCAAAAAAUCGCUGGUAAAUUAGGAUUCUGUAUGUUCCGGAUUCCGACAUCAAUCAGCCGUCCCGUCACAUAAUUUCCAUUGAAUCGACACCAUAUAAUCCGUACUUCAAACAGUGGGUGUGAAGCAUCCAAUUAUCGGUGAGAAUAAAACUCAAUGGGUGUGAAGCCAGAAAAGAUUAACAAGCAAUCACCAAUCAAUUAUCGAUUAGAUUAAAACUCGCAAGCGCCGAUCUGUGUUGAUUACUUUGAUAAUGUUAUAAAUUCUUUGUUGAUUAUUUUACAAUUUAUAAUCUCUUGUAAGAGUGCGCUUGGUAUUUGAUUUUAGCUACUCAUGUCAAAUACCGCGACAUUAUAUAAAAAUUGCCGCGAUUGCCUGAACAGAUUUGACAUUAGAUGUAAAGUGGCAACUUAUAACAGAUUUCGAGAAAGUUCCACGACCUGCGCAGAAGGAAUUAGCCGUUAAGUAUUCAAUUGGCCGAGCUACAGUGUCAGACAUAUUAAAGCGUAAAGAUGAAUUUAAACAGAAGUUUGCCGAUAAUUUAAACUGCAGUAAGAAACGAUUUUACACCAACUCAAAAUUGCAUUGUUAUUGUUAAUUAUUUAAUGUUAUAAAAUUUUGAAAGUAGAGAAAGGUUUAUCAUUUUUAAAGGGAAUAGCAUUCUGGUGAUUCGAAGCUACAAUAUAAAAAUACUUCCGGUUUUCGAAGUUACAGUAUUUCCGGUUUUGGAGAAAGCUUGGUAUUCCGACACGCUGUGUGAUCCGAAAUAUUGUAACGAUCCCGUACGAUGUCGGAUGUGACAGAGUCCACUGUACAGAUAUCGUUAUCAAGCAAAUGAUGAUAUAUAACAAAAAUGUUUAAUAAAAUUCAGAAAUAGUAUAUCCAUAUAUAAGUGUGUUAAUUUUGUAGAUGUGGCUACAACUACGAAUUGUUUUGUCUGUUGGUUUUCAUAAUAAGGCCAAACUCUACUUUCCGUGUAUAUGUCACAUACCAUCAUGAAUACAUCUAGACAGUUUUUAUUAAUUGAUUCUAGUAGAUGUUAUCAUUGUUAAAAUGAACCAAUAGGUGGACCCUGUCCUUUGAUUACUUAUUAAAAUGUAGCAAUGGGUGGACUAUCCCCUUUAAUUUCUUGUUUUACAAUAUGUAGUGUGGUUUUUAUUAGUUAGUUUUUAUUAGUGAAGGUGUAUGGUAAUUUUUCAUGUUUACUAAUGGUUUAACCAUAUUUAUUUGCAAUGUUUACAAUUUUAUAACAAGGAUACGAAAACAAGCAUAAAUAUGCUUAUAAAUAUCGCCUCGAUAAAAAUAUCAUUUUGAUUAAAAAAAUAUCGGUUUAAUAAAAAUAUCACUUUGAUAAAAAUAUCGCUUCUAUAAAAAUAUUGCUUUAAUAAAAUUAUCGCUACAAUGAAUAUCGCUUUACUUGUAAAAUUCCAUGCUUUUAAAUCCAUUCUUCUUUAAAAGCUUUAAUCAUUUUUUCUCCCAGAUUCUAUAUUUAAUCUGUUUGUCUGCAUUCCUGAACUGUUUAUUCUUUCUGUGUUCCUUAGGACAGUUUUCCUGCAGUACCUGUUUAAAUAUUUCAAUCUAAACGUUUCAUAGAAAAUUUUUGUGAAAUUAACAUGGUUCACAUUUCGCAAUGUGUUGAACCAUUAAAGAUGCAUUAUGUAAGGGCGAAAUCUGCCUAUAGCAGAUCUUUCAUUUGGCCUCAAAUGUUAUAUAAAUUAUUAAUUAGACAUUUAUUUACAUGCCAGACCCAUAAUCAACUCUCUAGUACUUUGGAUGGUUUUGAUUUUCAACAGAUUUAAAUACGAUUGGCAGUUAAUGAUUUAAUUCAAAAAUAGAUAAUUGAGACUUUGUUAUCGUAACAAAUGUAGCAAUGACAAACAAGAUUACACUGUUAACUCAACUCAGAAUGAAGUAAUUUGACUGAAAUUUUCAAUAUAUUUCCUUUUCAUUAUAAUUUUUUUUAAACUAUUUUAGUGAAAACUGUAAGUUCUUUCUAUCAAAAUCUUACAUAAUGCAUCUCUUAGUAAUUAGACAGUGGAACCAGUCCGAUAUUAUACUCAUGAAUUUGGAUAUUAUAGCAAAUAGGUCUUUCUAGUUCUGUUCUUAAAUAUAGAUUAUGCAAGAGCUAAAUUACGGUAUGAACAAAAAUAUUAAAAUAGGCUAAGUAUAUAUUUAUAAGGAUAAUGAAAUGGGGUUUAACGUCCUAAUGUUCUGCUCCGAACUGGGCUCGUCUUCAUAGCCCAGUCAGAGCAGAACAGUAGGGUGUUAAACUCCAUUUCAUUUCAUGCAAUUUCCGACAUAAUUUUCUGUCAGAGGUUACAUGAUACAUGUAUAUUUAAUUGCAAUUUGUGUAUAUAUAUUUUAUCCACCACCACAUGUCCACGAAUAAAAACAAUUGGAAUAUUUUACCAAGUAUAAAAUUAUUGUAUUAAUUUAUAAAAAAAAAAGUAAUUAUGUUUGUUUUUUCUUGAUUAUUAUUUGUUAUGAAAUAAAAAUUAUUUCAUUGAA